rnacentral:rRNA from 1 species
GACGAACGCUGGCGGCGUGCUUAACACAUGCAAGUCGAGCGGUAAGGCCCUUUCGGGGGUACACGAGCGGCGAACGGGUGAGUAACACGUGGGUGACCUGCCCUCAGCUCUGGGAUAAGCCUGGGAAACCGGGUCUAAUACUGGAUAUGACUCCAUGACGCAUGUUGUGGGGUGGAAAGCCUUGUGCGGCUGAGGAUGGGCCCGCGGCCUAUCAGCUUGUUGGUGGGGUGANGGCCUACCAAGGCGACGACGGGUAGCCGGCCUGAGAGGGCGACCGGCCACACUGGGACUGAGGCACGGCCCAGACUCCUACGGGAGGCAGCAGUGGGGAAUCUUGCGCAAUGGGCGAAAGCCUGACGCAGCGACGCCGCGUGAGGGAUGACGG